UGAAGGCUUUGAAGGCACAGACCGGCAUCUGGAGAACUUCAUGAAAGGAAAGCUUGAAACAAGUAACAAAGCCAAUUGGUAAUAUAUUAGCUCUGUAUACUCAGCGCCACAUCAUGCCCUUUAAACCAUCACGAAACGAUACAACCACAAAUUCAACUGCAGAGUUCCCUGAAUGGAUGGAGCAAGGUGAUCAAGAACUCCUAAAGUUCAGUUCUCUCGGUGUGCAUGUGGAUGCCAUUGUGUCCUUAGAUGGGAGUGGCCAUUACCG
rnacentral:misc_RNA from 1 species